UAAUACGGGGGGGGCAAGCGUUGUUCGGAAUUACUGGGCGUAAAGGGCGCGCAGGCGGUCUGAGAAGUUCUGGGUGAAAGCCCUCGGCUUAACCGAGGAAGGUCCUGGGAAACCAUCAGGCUAGAGUGCUGGAGAGGGAAGUGGAAUUCCCGGCGUAGCGGUGAAAUGCGUAGAUAUCGGGAGGAACACCAGAGGCGAAGGCGACUUCCUGGACAGACACUGACGCUGAGGCGCGAAAGCCAGGGGAGCAAACGGGAUUAGAUACCCCGGUAGUCCUGGCUGUAAACGAUGGGUACUUGAUGUGGGGGGUGAAGAGAGUCCCUCCGUGUCGUCGAUAACUCGAUAAGUACCCCGCCUGGGGAGUACGGCCGCAAGGCUG
rnacentral:rRNA from 1 species